rnacentral:lncRNA from 1 species
UCAUGGAGCUAGGAAAGCCAACCAUUACAAACAACAAAUUGUGUUUGACUUGGGGCUACUUUGGCAUUUCUCUUCUAUAACUUCUACCUUUUAAAAUGACUUUUGGUUCAGAAUAAUAUUAAAUAGAGGCUGGAGAGAAAAAUUGCUCAGCAGGUAAGAGCACUUACUGCUUUUUCAGAUGACCUGGAUUUGGUUCCUAGAACCCACAUGGAAGCUCACAACCAUCUUUAACUCCAGUUCCAAGGUGACUAUGGAGCCACAAGAGUACAUCAGAGCCUCAAGAACUUACAGGUGACUGUGAGCUACCCAGCAUGGGUGCUGGGAAGAAUGAAACCCAGGUCUCUGGAAGAUCAGUAAGUGCUCUUAGCCACUGAGCAUCUCUCCAGCCCCAGGGCCCAGUCUUCAGCAAUACUGUCCAAGAACCCAUAUGGUGAAAUGCUCGUGACAGACUCUUAAAGAGUCUGCAGAAUCGCAGGCCCAGCAUGACAGCUGCAGUCUUCUCCAGCAGCACAUUUGGAAAAGCCCAGAUGAGAGGCAUUAAAUUGCUAGCAAGCUUACUCAUGGCUGCUUUUACUUUUUUUUUCUGUGUAUGAAUAUAUUUUCCAGAUAUUUAAAAAUAACCACCCAUUUCCUUUAUAACUGGAAAGUGAGUAAGAUCGAUGGUGACUGCAAGGGAUCUGGGCCUUCUGGAAUGAAUCAAAGGUCUGGCUGCUUGAAGCACCCUGAGAAAUAGCCACAUUUGAACUUGCCCACGAUGCAUGACUAUUAUAGCCACUGCUUCCAGGCCAUCUCUCCCUGAUCAGGAACAACCUAACAACGGCUCCCUCCUUCCUUUUAGGAACCCAUUAGAGUGAGUGCAGCUGAGGUAAAGGUGGUGGUGUCAGGGGGGAAAUCCAUGUCUUACUUAACAGAAAAACUGAGAAUAAAGGAGUCCUUCCCACCCGUGCCCCACACUCCCAGCUCCUAGGUGACAUCUUGGAAGCUCUUCAUGGGACACUUGCUUCUCUGUCCCCUCGGGCAUCCUUUACCACUUGCAGUGACAAUUUCGGGUCACUAAUGAGAUUGUCACCUUGCUGCGACUUACUGUACUUGAGAUCUGUGUGGUCCUGAAACUUGUACACAAGGAGGGGCCCUCGUAUGGGCCUGGCGAGGGGACCUCAUGGGAGCCGCAUCCACAGCUCAGGACAUGCUGGAGCCAAUCUGGACUCUGGAUUUCUUCUAUUGUCCGUUUUCCCAGUACCUCAGUUUCACCAUUUGUCCUGGGAGAAUGCUGCC